rnacentral:rRNA from 1 species
UGGGGAAUUUUGGACAAUGGGCGAAAGCCUGAUCCAGCAAUGCCGCGUGUGUGAAGAAGGCCUUCGGGUUGUAAAGCACUUUUGUCCGGGAAGAAAUGGCUCUGGUUAAUACCUGGGGCCGAUGACGGUACCGGAAGAAUAAGGACCGGCUAACUACGUGCCAGCAGCCGCGGUAAUACGUAGGGUCCAAGCGUUAAUCGGAAUUACUGGGCGUAAAGCGUGCGCAGGCGGUUGUGCAAGACCGAUGUGAAAUCCCCGAGCUUAACUUGGGAAUUGCAUUGGUGACUGCACGGCUAGAGUGUGUCAGAGGGGGGUAGAAUUCCACGUGUAGCAGUGAAAUGCGUAGAGAUGUGGAGGAAUACCGAUGGCGAAGGCAGCCCCCUGGGAUAACACUGACGCUCAUGCACGAAAGCGUGGGGAGCAAAC